rnacentral:rRNA from 1 species
GUGUCAGCAGCCGCGGUAAUACGUAGGGUGCAAGCGUUGUCCGGAAUUAUUGGGCGUAAAGAGCUCGUAGGCGGUCUGUCGCGUCGGAUGUGAAAACUCGGGGCUCAACCCCGAGCCUGCAUACGAUACGGGCAGACUUGAGUUCGGCAGGGGAGACUGGAAUUCCUGGUGUAGCGGUGAAAUGCGCAGAUAUCAGGAGGAACACCGGUGGCGAAGGCGGGUCUCUGGGCCGAUACUGACGCUGAGGAGCGAAAGCGUGGGGAGCGAACAGGAUUAGAUACCCUGGUAGUCCACGCCGUAAACGGUGGGUGCUAGGUGUGGGGAACUUUCCACGUUCUCCGUGCCGCAGCUAACGCAUUAAGCACCCCGCCUGGGGAGUACGGCCGCAAGGCUAAA